rnacentral:rRNA from 1 species
UACGUAGGGUCCGAGCGUUGUCCGGAAUUAUUGGGCGUAAAGGGCUCGUAGGCGGUUUGUCGCGUCGGGAGUGAAAACCUACAGCUUAACUGUGGGCUUGCUUUCGAUACGGGCAGACUUGAGGCAUGCAGGGGAGAACGGAAUUCCUGGUGUAGCGGUGAAAUGCGCAGAUAUCAGGAGGAACACCGGUGGCGAAGGCGGGACUCUGGGCCGAUACUGACGCUGAGGAGCGAAAGCGUGGGGAGCGAACAGG